rnacentral:lncRNA from 1 species
CCUCCUCAAACCCUCACUGAUGCUCAGAUGUUUGUGGUUAUCAGUUCCUCUUGAUCUCAACUCCCUCCUUUUCCCUCUGCCCUUCACAUAAAAAGCCUAAAAUGUGUACUGACUUAUGAUGGUACUUUAGAGCUCCAGUUCACCAUCUUGUUCAUUUUGCUGGCUCUCCAAAUAAAACUGCUUUUCCUCCCACACACCCUUGUUUCUUGAGUCUGGCUUUUAAUUGGUGAGCAGCCCAAUCUGGGUUCAGUUACAGAAGGUACCGCCUAUGAACCAGAAAGCAGGCCCCUGCCAGACACCAAAUCUGCCAGUGCCUUGAUCUUGAACUUACCAGUCUCUGGAACUACGGAAAAUAAAUUUCUGCUGUUCCCAGUCUAAGAAAUUUUGUUAUAGCAGCAGGAACAGACUAACACAUAUGUGAACUCUCUGCACUAUUUUUGCAGCUUUUUUGUAAGUUUACAAUUGUUUUAAACGUUCCAGGGAGGAAGCAGUGGAGACUGAGCUGUGGAAGGAGUGGAGCAUGUUGUGGAGAUACACAGGACUCAGCAGUGGACUGGAUUGGGGGAGAUGCAGUGGAAUGAGGGAGCUUCCAGCUUGAGCUUUCGAGGCUGGCGUUCAUGGAUUUAAAACCUAGUUCUUUGGCUUCCUGGUUAUAUGCAAGGUGCUUAACCUGUUUGCGCUCUACAAAAUGGAGAUGCUACCUCCAUGUGAUGAGGAUCAAUGAGACGGCCACACAAAACACUUUCCUAGCUUAUGCACACAAUGGGUCGCAACAAACUGAUACCCUGUUAACAAUGUCACCCAGAUAGAGGACUGCUAGCAGGUUUCUGUAAGGGAACUCUGGCCAAAUAUUUAGGGCACAGUCUGGCAUACAGUAAGCCUACAGAGUGAGUGUUGAUAUUAUUAUUAUAACAAAAAUUCCCAAAUUGCGUUGUUGACAAAGAAGUAAUUCCUGAGUGAGUUGAUCUUUCCUCCCAGCUGCAGAACAAGCCUUAGACCCUUACACAUACGUAAAGGCAAAAUCUGUCUAUAUCAUAGUUUAUGGCUACUGUCUUCCAUAGCCAUAAAUUAUAAACUGAUACUUCAGUCCUAGGCUGCUGUUUAUUUCUUUUCUUCACUGCCUCCCACCCACUUCUCCCUUUGGACGACCCAGCCAAAGUCAAUAGGAGAUGAUAGCCUUGAAAACUGGACUUUCAUGGGCACAAACCACCCACUGCUGAUUGAUGUCCAGGCCUUGGGAAAUGGUCCCAAACCGAGCAAACACGAACCCGCUCCUGGCAGCAGGUGGUCUUGUUGGCCACCUCUACAGAGGCUGUGUGAGAUGUUAGGUCUGCCAGGGUCAGGAGUGACAGGGGG